rnacentral:rRNA from 1 species
AACGAACGCUGGCGGCAUGCCUAACACAUGCAAGUCGAACGAGACCUUCGGGUCUAGUGGCGCACGGGUGCGUAACGCGUGGGAACCUGCCCUUAGGUUCGGAAUAACUCCCCGAAAGGGGUGCUAAUACCGGAUAAUGUCUUCGGACCAAAGAUUUAUCGCCUUUGGAUGGGCCCGCGUUGGAUUAGCUAGUUGGUAGGGUAAAAGCCUACCAAGGCGACGAUCCAUAGCUGGUCUGAGAGGAUGAUCAGCCACACUGGGACUGAGACACGGCCCAGACUCCUACGGGAAGCAGCAGUGGGGAAUAUUGGACAAUGGGCGAAAGCCUGAUCCAGCAAUGCCGCGUGAGUGAUGAAGGCCUUAGGGUUGUAAAGCUCUUUUGCCCGGGAUGAUAAUGACAGUACCGGGAGAAUAAGCUCCGGCUAACUCCGUG